rnacentral:rRNA from 1 species
UAGGGAAUCUUCGGCAAUGGACGGAAGUCUGCCCCCCCCCCCCGGGGAAAAAAAANNAGGUUUUCGGAUCGUAAAGCUCUGUUGUAAGAGAAGAACGAGUGUGAGAGUGGAAAGUUCACACUGUGACGGUAUCUUACCAGAAAGGGACGGCUAACUACGUGCCAGCAGCCGCGGUAAUACGUAGGUCCCGAGCGUUGUCCGGAUUUAUUGGGCGUAAAGCGAGCGCAGGCGGUUAGAUAAGUCUGAAGUUAAAGGCUGUGGCUUAACCAUAGUAGGCUUUGGAAACUGUUUAACUUGAGUGCAAGAGGGGAGAGUGGAAUUCCAUGUGUAGCGGUGAAAUGCGUAGAUAUAUGGAGGAACACCGGUGGCGAAAGCGGCUCUCUGGCUUGUAACUGACGCUGAGGCUCGAAAGCGUGGGGAGCAAACAGGAUUAGAUACCCUGGUAGUCCACGCUGUAAACGAUGAGUGCUAGGUGUUAGACCCUUUCCGGGGUUUAGUGCCGUAGCUAACGCAUUAAGCACUCCGCCUGGGGAGUACGACCGCAAGGUUG